AAAUAAAUUUGCAUCUGAUCCGGGAACAUAAAUAACGUAUGAUAUUUUAGUAAUUUCGAAAAUGUAACGACUCGACCUACUAGCAAUAAUAACUCGUUGGGCCAAAACCACUGGCCCAAAAUGCUUAAGCCCAGUUAUCAUUACUAGGAUGGAGUCCUCUUAUAUGCCCAAUAACAAUUUUAUUCCCAUCCGGUGUGGGAAUAUUGGGUGUCACAGACUCCCCCCAUUUAGGCCCUGACCUCCUUAUCAACCCUAAAUACACAUAGCCCAAGAUCACCACGCGAUGUGAGACUUGUCUCGCUAGCCUUUGUCAUUUCAACCCUGACUUAUCCUGUCAUUCAUCGAUCCUGUCUUAAUCUGUCAUUCCGACUCUAGAUAAGCCAAGAUUCAUCUCACACUUCUGGCUAGUGAACCGGCUCUGAUACCAAAUGUAAUAAUCCGACCCACUAACAAUAAUAACUUAUUGGGUCAAAACCACCGACCCAAAUUGCUUAAGCCUAGUUAUCAUUACUAGGGUAGAGUCCUCUUAUAUAUUCAAUGACAAUUCCAUUCGCAUCCGAUGUGGGACUAUUGGGGUGUCACAUAAAAACACUUUUUUUGCUUGUGCUUCACAAACUCGGCU
rnacentral:lncRNA from 1 species